rnacentral:tRNA from 1 species
CGUAAGCGAGUUUGGAGAAUGUGGGCUUUGGGGGCUUGAGGGUAUGGUUACGA